AUUGAACGCUGGCGGCAGGCCUAACACAUGCAAGUCGAACGAGUGGCGGACGGGUGAGUAAUGUCUGGGAAACUGCCCGAUGGAGGGGGGUAACUACUGGAAACGCUAGCUAAUACCGCAUACCCUCGGAUGUGCCCCGAUGGGAUUAUCUUGUAGGUGAGGUAACAGCUCACCUAGGCGACGAUGCCUAGCUGGUCUGCGAGGAUGACCAGCCACACUGGGACUGAGACACGGUCCAGCCUCCUCCGGGAGGCAGCAGUGGGGAAUAUUGCACAAUAGGCGCAAGCCUGAUGCAGCCAUGCCGCGUGUAUGAAGAAGGCCUGCGGGUUGUAAAGUACUUUCAGCGGGGAGGCGUUACCCGCAGAAGAAGCACCGGCUAACUCCGUGCGAGCAGCCGCGGUAAUAC
rnacentral:rRNA from 1 species